rfam:Candidatus Nealsonbacteria bacterium RIFCSPLOWO2_01_FTLL_43_32 rifcsplowo2_01_scaffold_15325, whole genome shotgun sequence.
GGCCUCAUCGUCUAGUCUGGUCUAGGACGUAAGGUUCUCAUCCUUAAAACACCGGUUCAAAUCCGGUUGAGGCCA